AGGUCACAAUGCUUCUGAUGCAAGAAUAUCUAGUGGUAGUUCUUGGUGUGCUCCUAUCUCAAAUGACACACAUUAUCUUCAAGUGGACUUAGAAAGACUGUAUGAGAUCUCUUAUCUCGUAACAUAUGGUGACAGUACCGGCCCAAAAUGGGUGGCCAAGUAUAACCUGAAUUACACCUUUGAUUUGGUGAACUGGAAAAC